UGGGAAUCAGGGCUCUGAGCCCCAGCAUGGGCUCCGCUGGGCCACAGAUGUCAUUUACAGAACUCAAAUGUCCUAGACACCUCAGAGCACUACGGGCCAAUGUGGAGCCAGUGACUGCAGACCUGCAGGCUCGAGGACUCCCCUGCCUGCUCCUCAGCUGCCAGGAGAAAAUACCGUUGCUAUGAAGCAAUGUGCCAUGACUGGGUGUGGUCUGCCCACCAGACUCCAUGUGUUAGAAGCGUGGGUGGUGAUGCUGAGAGGUGGUGAGACCUUGAAAAGGUAAGAUCUGAUGGGAGGUAGUUGGGCGCCACACUUGGGAUUAAUGCGGGUGUCAGGGCGCUGGAUUAGUUCCGUAGGCAAUGGGUUGCUCUAAAGUGACUUUGGCUGUUUUCUCUAUUUUCUCUCUCGCUUCCUCUUUGGGCAAGUGACCUCUCUUUCUUCCACAUACUCUCUGGACAGUCUGUCUACCUUGAGGCCCUCACCAGGAGCCAGUAACAGCA
rnacentral:lncRNA from 1 species